rnacentral:rRNA from 1 species
GACGAACGCUGGCGGCGUGCCUAACACAUGCAAGUCGAACGGAAAGGCCCUGCUUUUGUGGGGUGUUCGAGUGGCGAACGGGUGAGUAACACGUGUGUAACCUGCCCCUUACUUUGGGAUAACUUCUGGAAACUGGGGUUAAUACCGGGUAUGAGCUCCUUCUGCACGGUGGGGGGUGGAAAGUUUCGGCGGUUGGGGAUGGACUCGCGGCUUAUCAGCUUGUUGGUGGGGUAGUGGCUUACCAAGGCUUUGACGGGUAGCUGGCCUGAGAGGGUGACCGGCCACAUUGGGACUGAGAUACGGCCCAGACUCCUACGGGAGGCAGCAGUGGGGAAUAUUGCACAAUGGGCGGAAGCCUGAUGCAGCAACGCCGCGUGCGGGAUGACGGCCUUCGGGUUGUAAACCGCUUUCGCCUGUGACGAAGCGUGAGUGACGGUAAUGGGGAAAGAAGCACCGGCUAACUACGU